rnacentral:rRNA from 1 species
GACGAACGCUGGCGGCAUGCCUAACACAUGCAAGUCGAACGAAACGUUCGGGCCUAGUGGCGCACGGGGGGGUGACGAGGGGGGAGCAACCCUUGGGUUCGGUAUACCUCCCUGAGAGGGGAGUUAAUACAAGUGAGUCUAAUACGACCAAGGAUUUAUCGCCAUUGGGUGGGGGCGGGUAAGAUUCGCUGGUUGGUAGGGUAAAAGCCUACCAUGGCGACGUUGCAGGGCUGGUAGGAGAGGAGGAUCAGCCACACUGGGACUGAGACACGGCCCAGACUCCUACGCAGGGGAGCAGUGGGGAAUAUUGGACAAUGAGCGAAAGCCUGAUCCAGCAAUGCGGGGUGAGUGAUGAAGGCCUUAGGGUUGUAAAGCUCUUUUACCCGGGAUGAGAAUGACAGUACCGGGUGAAUAAGCACCGGCUAACUCCGUG